AUGAAUAGGUGGCUCCACCUGAUUGAUUUUGUUAAAAAGUUUGUUCCAUCUGCUGGUAGUGAUCACCAUGUCUGGAUGUUGGAGCCUUCUGGCAAGUUCACUGUUAAGUCCUUUUAUAAAAUGAUUAACUUUGGAGGUGUGCCUUCUGAUAUUAGCGAUUCCAUUUGGAAAAUUAAAGUUCCCCCGAAUAUACAUGUAUUCCUUUGGCUCAUUUUUAAUAACAAAAGUUUGACUAGAGAUAAUUUGGCCAAAAGAAGGCAUGUAGAUGAUGCUUCUUGUGUGUUCUGCACUGAGCUUGAAACUACUCAACAUUUAUUCUUUGAUUGCACUGUGGCAAGAGAGAUCUGGUCUAUUGUUGCUGACUGCUUUUGCAUUCAGUUCCUUGGUGGGCUUGGAACUACAAAACCUUUGUGGAAUCAUAAAAAAGAAAAUGAAGCUGUUAACUUGGUUAUUUUAGCCACCUUGUGGGGCUUAUGGUUGAUGCGAAACGACUUUGUUUUCCAGGGGCGAAAACGGCGAAGUAUGUGUUGUAUCCUGGACUUGGUGGGCUCGCUAAUAAGGCAAUGGAAAAUUCUCUGUUCGGGCGUGCAGGGUGCUCUGCUUCUUCGGUGCUUAAGGCCACUCGAUCAUCGGCGAGGGAAGUUGCUUAGAAUCAUUUAG
rnacentral:rRNA from 1 species